UCCACACCGUAAACGAUGAUCACUAGAUGUUGGCCUCGAUUUUUCGGGGGCAGUGUCGCAGCUAACGCGUUAAGUGAUCCGCCUGGGAACUACGGUCGCAAGACUAAAACUCAAAGGAAUUGACGGGGAUCCGCACAAGCGGUGGAACAUGUGGUUUAAUUCGACACUACGCGAGGAACCUUACCUGGGCUUGACAUGCAUUUGACCGCCGUGGAAACAUGGUUUUCCAAGUUUACUUGGACAGGUGCACAGGUGCUGCAUGGUUGUCGUCAGCUCGUGUCGUGAGAUGUUAGGUUAAGUCCUCUAACGAGCGCAACUCCUA
rnacentral:rRNA from 1 species